rnacentral:rRNA from 1 species
UACGUAGGGGGCAAGCGUUGUCCGGAAUCAUUGGGCGUAAAGAGCGUGUAGGCGGCCAGAUAAGUCCGCUGUGAAAUCUCGAGGCUCAACUUCGAGCUGUCGGUGGAAACUGUCUGGCUAGAGUCCGGAAGAGGAGAAUGGAAUUCCUGGUGUAGCGGUGAAAUGCGCAGAUAUCAGGAAGAACACCCGUGGCGGAAGGCGGUUCUCUGGGACGGUACUGACGCUGAGACGCGAAAGCGUGGGGAGCGAACAGG